rnacentral:lncRNA from 1 species
CUGGGUUCAAAGAGUUAUUUACACUUGGAAUCCCAUUACUGGAAGUAAGUUGCAUUGCACCAGCCUGGACAGAGCUGUCAUGGUUUGAGUUCUGACUGGCCGUCUGUUGUUGCUGUUGCUGCUGCUGAGACUGUGGCUGCUGCUGCUGAGACUGUAACUGUGGCUGCUGCUGAGACUGUAACUGUGGCUGCUGCUGAGAGUGAUCCUCAGAUGGUUGAGCUGGAUCGUGUACCCCAACCGAUGAACCAUUCCUACGAGGAAACUUAGCCAAGCUCUCUGGAAAGGCAAAUUUCAAGCACAAAAUGUAAGGUUUAAAGAACUGUAUCAAUCCCAACAUUCAUGCGGUACUCUCAGGGUUAAGUUCUUACACUACACAACCCACUACUUUAUAUUCAAGAAGCUCUUUUUUUAUUUUUUUGAAUCAGUAUUUUACCUCCGACAACUUAAAGGCACAUAUUGUAAGGUUUAAAGAACUGCUUCAAUCCCAACAGUCAUGCGGUACUCUUAGGGUUAAGUUCUUACACUACACAACCACUACUUUAUAUUCGAGAAGCUCUUUUUUUAAAAAUUUUUUCGAAUCAGUAUUUUACCUCCGAUAACUUAAAGGCAUACAGAAUGAAAUCUGCAUUCAAACACAGCCAGUUGGGGUUUUUUCACCUGUACAUUAGUAGUUAGCAGUUGCCAACUCAAAAAGCAAUUCAUCGCCUUUAGUGAAAAUUUAACUUUAGAUGAUAACAUUUAUGCCUUGUGAUGAAAACCGAUCGUAUCCUAAUCUCCAAACCAUCAAACCGCAUAGAAAGAUUACCCCAUGCAACCUCACUUUGAUCUUUGAGAUUA